CGGCGAGUGGCGAACGGGUGAGUAAUGCAUCGGAACGUGCCCACAAGAGGGGGAUAGCUUGGCGAAAGCCAAGGUAAUACCGCAUAAUCUCUAAGGAGGAAAGCGGGGGACCGAAAGGCCUCGCACUUGUGGAGCGGCUGAUGUCCGAUUAGCUUGUUGGUGGGGUAAAAGCCUACCAAGGCUACGAUCGGUAGCUGGUCUGAGAGGAUGAUCAGCCACACUGGGACUGAGACACGGCCCAGACUCCUACGGGAGGCAGCAGUGGGGAAUUUUGGACAAUGGG
rnacentral:rRNA from 1 species